GCUGGUUUGGCUCAGUAGAUAGAGCAUCGGACCUGCAAACUGAAGGGUCGCAGGUUUGAUUCCUGUCAAUGGCA
rnacentral:tRNA from 1 species